rnacentral:rRNA from 1 species
AUGCACGCUUGCGGCGUGCCUCAUACCUGCCAGUCGAGCGAACAGACGAGGAGCUUGCUCCUCUGACGUUAGCGGCGGACGGGUGAGUAACACGUGGAUAACCUACCUAUAAGCCUGGGAUAACUUCGGGAAACCGGAGCUAAUACCGGAUAAUAUAUUGAACCGCAUGGUUCAAUAGUGAAAGACGGUUUUGCUGUCACUUAUAGAUGGAUCCGCGCCGCAUUAGCUAGUUGGUAAGGUAACGGCUUACCAAGGCAACGAUGCGUAGCCGACCUGAGAGGGUGAUCGGCCACACUGGAACUGAGACACGGUCCAGACUCCUACGGGAGGCAGCAGUAGGGAAUCUUCCGCAAUGGGCGAAAGCCUGACGGAGCAACGCCGCGUGAGUGAUGAAGGUCUUCGGAUCGUAAAACUCUGUUAUUAGGGAAGAACAAAUGUGUAAGUAACUAUGCACGUCUUGACGGUACCUAAUCAGAAAGCCACGGCUAACUACGUG